UGUGGGGAGGGCCGCGGGAGCCUCUCUCUGCAGACGUUCUCCUGUCUCCGCACUCCAGGGCUUGUGUUUUGAUUAGCUUGUCCCUUAGGCUAUCAUUAGCGUCUUUGAGGGGAAAGUAUUCAGUCCAUAAAUAUGAAAAUAAGCCCGUAAUUGACCCUUGGACUGAAUUUGUUUCCAUGAGGUUUUGGACUGAAGAGGCCCCUCUUUGGAAAGCCCUGUGUGUGACAUCAGCGGCGGUGCCCGCUGGGAUGCCCGUGCAGGCCUGCACUUAGGAGGGCAGAGAGGGCCAGGGAGAGAGGGCGGUGGGCUUGUCUCCUCGCUGUGAGCCCCGUGAGGCACCACAAAGGAGUGCCGCAGAGUGUGUGCCCUGGCGCCAACUCACCUGCUGGCCGCGGAAGGCUGCUCCCACGUCCCACCAGCACGUGCCACUGGUGUAGGAAGGUCCCACACAGACACUCCUGGGGAUGUGACAGAGGCCACCGCCGUGGUCUGCAGGCUGCCUGGGAACUGUGCUGGCUAGGACAAGCCUGCUCCAGAGGACCUGCCCUCCUGCAGCCCGGUGGUGCUGCGCCUGACCUCAGGGUGAGGUCCUCCCUCCCUGCACCCUGCCUGUGACUUUGCUCUCUCGGGAGUACCCACCACGGCUGGCAGAACACACGGCCUUGUGACUUGGUGAGCAUCAUCAACACAGUGAGCUGGAAGGGGUACAGAAAGUGGAGGCCGCCAGAGCAGACGGACCCCAGGCUCAGUGGAGAGGCGGCUGGGAGACCAGCGAACCCCUGGGAAUAAGAACAUACAUCAUAUUACUGACACAUAUCAUCUAAGUAUGUAGUUCGGUGACAGUAAGCACUUUUUCCAUGUCGCACAGCGUAGGCUUUUCAUCUCCAAAACCUUUCAGCUUCCCAAAGGGAAACUCUGCCUUCUACACCAGUUCCCCACUCCUCCUACCCCACGCCCCCGCACCACCCUCUGCUUCCGUCUCUGGGUUUGCCACUCUGGGUCCCUGACGCACUUCACAGACAGCAGGAAGGUGCGGCCUCUGUUCCUCGUGACUGGCUCAUUUCACUCAGCAGGGUCCUCCAGGUCCAUCCAGGCGGAGGUGUGUGUCACCAUGUCCCUCUUUCUUAAGACAGAAUGCUGUUCCUCUGUGUGUCUGCCAGGUCUUGUUCACCAUCACCGUCAGUGCACGUCUGAGUCGUUGCUACCUCUGGAUGGUGGGAAUGUGCUGCUAUGGAUAAGGUGUAAAUAGCUGAGUUUUGGGUUCCAAUUCUUGUGGAGAUUGAUCAUAUGACAAUUCCAUAUUUAACUUUCUGAGGAAGUGACAAACUAUUUUCCACAGUGGCCAUGUCAUUCACACUGAUCAGCAGUGCACAAGAAUUUUUUUUAAAUAUAUAUAUAUUUUUUAGUUGUAGUUGGACACAAUACUUUAUUUAUUUUUAUAGGGUGCCGAGGAUGGAACCCAGGGCCCUGCACCUGCUAGGGGAGCGCUGUGCCCCUGAGCCCCAGCCCCAGCCCAGCAGUGCACAAGGAUUCUGAUUUCUCAGUGCCUUCCUGAACCCAUGUGAGUUUCACUGUUUUUAUAAUAGCUGUACUGGUAGGGGUAGAGCACAUUCUGUGUGGCAUUUCCCUGAUGACUGGUAGUGCUGAACAUCUUCUCCUGUGUUUAUCAGCUGCCAUGUGUCCUCUCUGAAGCAAGGUCUACUCUUAUCCAUUGCCCAUUUUUUAAAUCAGGUUCUAAUCCCCUCCAUGUUUUCUUUUAGAGUAUUAGAGUUUUAGCUCCAUGGUUUAAGACUGGAUCCACUUUGAGUUAACUUAUACAUAUGGCACAAGCUAAGUUCACCUUAUUCUUUUGCACAUGGGUAUCUGCUGGUCCUAGUGCUAUUUACUGAAGAGCCUGUUCUUUCUUCAUUGACGAUCUUAAAGCCACAGCCCCAAAUCGCUUGACAAUCUAGGUGAGGUGUCUGGCUUUCCUCAAGUCCAUUCCUCCAUGUCUCUGUCCCUGUAACUACACUGUUAUGGAUUUGACAUGAAGUGUUCUUCCAGGCUCUGUGUUGAAGACGUGGCCCCCAGUGCAGGAGUGCUCAGAGAGGAGGCCUGGGGACGUGGCUGGAUCUUAAGGCCUCUGCUGCCAUCUCAGUGGAUUACUCCAUUGACACUGAGUAGACUCCUGGGAGGUGGGAUCUGCGGGGAAGGAGUGGCUCCUAGGGUGUGUGCCCCUUGGAACUGUAUCACGCCUUGGCCCUUCUUCUCUCUGCCUCCUGGCUGCCAUGAGGAGAGCGCCUUUCCUCCACACGCCCGUCCACAAUGAUGUCUGCCCUGCCUUACGCCCAAAGCCAUGGAGUCGGCUGACCGUGGGCGGAAACCUCUGAAAUCAAUCAUUCCUCCUUUAAGUUAUUUUUUUCAGGUAUUUGUCACAACAAUAAAAAACUGACUAUUAUGGUCUUGAUUGCUAUAGCUUGCAGUUACAUUUGAAAUCAGGAACUAAGGGUCCUCCAAAUUCCUUCUCACCCCCUCAGGAUUGUUUGGAUUAUUGCCCAAUUUCUUUUCCUCCCUCCUUCCCUCCUUCCCUCCCUCCUUCCCUCCCUUCCUUCCCCUGUACCCAUUGGCAUCUCUGAGAUAAUUUAUAGAACCAUAUUUGGGCAACUUGACUUGAAAAGUUUUUUUUUUUUUUUUUUUAGUUUAGGUGUAAUUUGUCUUUCUAAAGUUCUUAAGAAAACUGUUCACCCAUUUUCAUUCAAGUUCAACAAAAGAUAAUAAUGUGCUAGACUCUAAAAUAAUGUAGAUGAGUUGAAUUUUAUUCUUAUUCUUGAAAACUCAUUGCUGUGAGCAAGUUGAGCCUCCUUACCCUCCGUGGGGUCUAAUGACUUGACUUCUGUGUUUCGCACUCCUUCCCCAUGGAGGAGGCUAGGUGGAACUUUGUUCAGGAUGUUGUGACAAUGAAAUGAAAUCUGUAAAUGCUUUAAAUAUUUUGAAGGAAAGGUGUCAUCUGCACUCAAGGAAAAGUCCUGGUACAACUCCUGAAUUGGUGCACACGUCCAGUUCCCCGGUCAUUCCAUGCAAUGUCGUAGAUGGCACGUUCCCUUUCCUAGGAAUCCCAGGAUUACCUGGGAUUACUGUUCCCAAUAGCCAAGAAAUGGAAGCAAUCUAAGUACCCAUUAGCUGAUGAACAGAAAGAGAAAAUGUGGUACAUGCAGGAAAUCAAUCCUACUCAGCCAUUAAAAAGGAAGAGACUUCUCAUUGGUGGCACCAUGAUGGAACUGGAAAAAGAAAGAAAAUGCUGGUUGGAGCUGAACUAUAUGAUCCUACUCACAAGGUAGGUAUCACCUCCACUUUACAGAUGAAGAAGAAGUAGUUUUGGAGCAGUUAAGAAGCUCCUUGGUGUCACUGGGCCUCCCCAGCUCUGCCUCCUGCCAGCCCCUUCCAUCAUGUGAAAAACUCCCUUUCAGAAGUGAAAGAGAGGAAGUUACGUCAUCAGCAUGUGGACUAGAUGCUCUGCUCGUUCUGCUGCAAGAGAAGCUAACUGGCUUUGGAGCCCACAGAUCCCCAGCUGCUCCCUGGCUGCCAUGAGAGGCCACCCCGCACAAACCCAGCGGCCUGCUCAGGGACCAUGCUGCAAACAGCAUUGCCCAGUGGCCCCAAGACAGUGACCUCACAGCCUCCUCCUCCUACUGUUUGAGACAGCUUUGUGGCACUAAGACUGUUCUCUGCUGCCCCAGGCACAGGAGAGGGUUGGAAUUCCUGCUGCCUUGAGCUUGGCUGCUGCGACCUGUUUGGCCCAGUGGAUUGAGAGGGGACUCACUGAGUUCCUUCCAGGCAAGAGCCUUAAGAGCCAGCGCAAGUUUCCAGUGUCUGUAACCACAAAGCCCCUCGUGCUGGGGCUUUAAACAACAGACAGUGAUUGCCUCACAGUUGUGGAGCCUCCAAGAUCAGGGCGGAGAACCUUCCUAGCCUCUUCCAGCUUCUGGUGGCUCAGCAAUCCCGGCGCCCCUUUGGUCUGUCUGUGGGCACGUGGCACAUCUCUGCCUCUGUCAGCACAGUGUUCUCCCCGUGUGUCUGGGUCUCUGUGCCUUCUCCUCUGCUCAUGAGCACUCAGUUGUUUAGAUGGACAUGGAAACAAUUGAUCCCAAUUUUAAGAUCUGAAAAAACACUAUGACCAUCAAAAGCUGUCCUGUUUGCCAAUUGUCCCGCAAAGUUCAUCUCGAUUCUGUCCUCACAUCUAAGAUCUUUGCUUAUCAUGAAACAGUAAUGAGGUAUAUUGAAAUCUCCUUUUCUUUCCCACUUUUUAAAAAGACAGGCUUGACGUGCUUGUGUGUUACAGGGUAUUAGACUAAGAACUCGGGGGGAACAUUUAUGAUAUCUUGAUGGUCACACUGGUCCAGCAGCAAGAGAGGGAGAAGGAAGACACUUCUGUUGGUGACAAGCAGCUUCCGUGUGAGAAGUGCCACUGUAGCCAGCUUCCCCAAUGCCGAUCACCACCCAAACCCACAGAAACAUCGGCAGACGGCUUCCAGAGCUGUUCACCCUGUGAAUGGGAAGUUAUUGCUCUCUGAAAAUAUGCAAAAUGCAUUAGAAGGUAAUUGCAAGACAUUCAGGAUCUGAGAAACUUACUUUGAUGACUUUUAAUGGCAAAAUAUACUAUCUUCCACUGGG